UACGAAGGGGGCUAGCGUUGUUCGGAUUUACUGGGCGUAAAGCGCUCGUAGGCGGACUUUUAAGUCGGAGGUGAAAUCCCAAGGCUCAACCUUGGAAUUGCCUUCGAUACUGGGAGUCUUGAGUAUGGAAGAGGUUGGUGGAAUUGCAAGUGUAGAGGUGAAAUUCGUAGAUAUUUGCAAGAACACCGGUGGCGAAGGCGGCCAACUGGUCCAUUACUGACGCUGAGGAGCGAAAGCGUGGGGAGCAAACAGG
rnacentral:rRNA from 1 species